rnacentral:rRNA from 1 species
GACGUAGGGGGCCAGCGUUGCUCGGGAAUUACUGGGCGUAAAGGGUUCGUAGGCGGUGUGGCAAGUCGGGAGUGAAAUCUCCAGGCUCAACUUGGAGGCUGCUUCCGAAACUGCCGCGCUAGAGUGCGAGAGAGGCCAGUGGAAUUGCAGGUGUAGCGGUGAAAUGCGUAGAUAUCUGCAGGAACACCCGUGGCGAAGGCGGCUGGCCUGGAUCGCAACUGACGCUGAGGAACGAAAGCUAGGGGAGCAAACAGG